rnacentral:rRNA from 1 species
AUUGAACGCUGGCGGCAGGCCUAACACAUGCAAGUCGAGCGGAUGAAGGGAGCUUGCUCCUGGAUUCAGCGGCGGACGGGUGAGUAAUGCCUAGGAAUCUGCCUGGUAGUGGGGGAUAACGUCCGGAAACGGGCGCUAAUACCGCAUACGUCCUGAGGGAGAAAGUGGGGGAUCUUCGGACCUCACGCUAUCAGAUGAGCCUAGGUCGGAUUAGCUAGUUGGUGGGGUAAAGGCCUACCAAGGCGACGAUCCGUAACUGGUCUGAGAGGAUGAUCAGGCACACUGGAACUGAGACACGGUCCAGACUCCUACGGGAGGCAGCAGUGGGGAAUAUUGGACAAUGGGCGAAAGCCUGAUCCAGCCAUGCCGCGUGGGUGAAGAAGGUCUUCGGAUUGUAAAGCACUUUAAGUGGGGAGGAAGGGCAGUAAGUUAAUACCUUGCUGUUUUGACGUUACCAACAGAAUAAGCACCGGCUAACUUCGUG